AUCCUAGAGCAGAAGGAGCACAGGCUGGGCUGCCAUAGCAUGGACCCCCAAAAAGCCACUGUCAUGAAGAAAUAUCCUGUGAAGAAAAUCUUUGCAGGGCACCUGAACUCCCAAAGCCACUGAGGAGAAGAUGGAGGCCAUUGAACUUUCAGUGGAUCCAAAGUCUAACAAAAGACAAUGUCUUGUUUUCGUCACCCCCCAAAGAAGAGGAACCUGUGAGAAAUAUUCUGGAGAAAUUUAACACCAUCAGUGGAAGCAAGGUGAGGAGUCUCUACCUCCAUGUGCCUCCCCUCCUGCCUCUGGAGAGGUAGCCCUUUGGUUAAUGGCAACCCAAUAGGGUAACCAACCAUCCCAUUUUAGCAUUGAGAGCAUUGUGUCCUGGGAGACCCUUCCCUGGAAUGUAAAUAAUCCUGGUUUUAGCAACAAAGUGUGGAAGGUUGGAGGAAAUGCACAAAACCCGUAAGUUUUAGAGGGUCUGAAAGCAACAUUGUCUAUCAAAUGGAUACGGCACAGAUUAUUCAUCUUUACUUGUUGUCACCCAUUUGACCACUGAUACUGGCAACCAUAAUUUGUAGUUCAGAAUGGUCAUCCAUCCAUCGUUGCAUCAUUCAAAGUGAUGUGGCUUAAGUGUAUAUAAUGAUUAUUAAUAGUUCAUCUUCGACUUUGCCUGUGGAUUAAUUGGUGUGCUUUGUAACAAGAUAGUGCUAGUUUAAUUUUUUAACAUUGUGAAUAUUGUGACCAUGUUUUCUAAGAGGUCAGAUAAUGAGAAUGGUUAUAAUACCAAUGCAACCAUGACCCCAUCACUGAAGAAGAAGGCUAAACGACUAUGUAAUUUUGAUGAUGGAUGGAAGGACACAUACUACUGAACUAGGAAGGUAAAUAACCAAAACAGAGCAUACUACAUAAUAUACAGAAAAAAAUUUGAGAUUGGACAUGGUGGAGAAGGGGAUGUGCAAGCACAUAUGGAGGGCAAAUCUCACAAGUAAGAUGGGACAGGUGAAUGCUUCUAAACCAAUCAAAAAUACCUUUGUUUCCCCAAAAGACACCAAUGCUCAGUCAAAAAUAGCAGCUGCUGAAUUAGCAUGGGCAUACCAGGCAAAUAAGCCUGCAUUGUCAUAGCGUUCCCUUGAUUGCUCUAUGAAACUGAGUAAAGUUUCAUUUCCUGAUUCAAGAAUUGCAGCUAAAAUAUCCUCUGGACAAAGAAGAAGGGAAAUUUUUUGAUAACAGAUGUGUUGGCUCCUUACAGUAUAAAGCCAAUUUCUGUCAUAUCUCACCAACAAUCCUGGUUUCUACAGUACAUCAAUUUUAAGUAAUAUGCCAAAUCAUGGCAGCAAAAAUAUGUUCCCUCUAGCUGUUAGGUACUUUGACUUGAAAACAGGAGUUUCAAAUCAUCUUCUUCAUUUCUGUGAGGAUUUUAAUGAAACUGCUGAAAUCAUAAAAUAUUGUUGAUAUUUUGUCUAAAUACAAACUAGACUUAGCUCAUCUAUCUGUGUAUUCGUCAGACAGUAUAGAUGUAAAAUUUUGGCAAAUUGCAUUCAGUCUACAAACUUCUUACCAAAGAAAAUGAAAAGAUCUUAUCCAUUCAAUGCCUUGUACAUCUUAUAUACAACACUGCUAAAAAGGGAUGUGAGUUGCUUAAAUGUGACAUUGAGACUUUCAUAAUGAAAGCUUUUGGUUACUUUUCAAUUUCCUCAAAAAGUGCAAAAGCACUUAUGGAGAUUUUUGACUUCACAGAAAUGGAAGGUAACCUCUUUAGACGUGUGCCUGCAAGAUGGCUGUCAUUGUAAGUGAGCCAUAGAAACGAUGCUAAAAUGUUGGCCUGCCAUAAGAUCAUAUUUUCAAAGGACAAGAAUAAUGUCCUUUGACAUUGUUUGAAAUCUGAAAGGAGAAAAAAAUCAAGAAUCUGAAGUGGGCCUUAAAAAAAUCAGUAAGUCCCUUGUGACUCUGAUUUUUAUGAAUCUGUCUCUCAAAAGCCAGGGUGCCCCCAGAAGAACUGAGACAAACUGAGUUUCUGAACAUUUGAAAAUGAGGAGCAGGCUCAGGAUCCACAGGGUGUAACCAUCCCGUGAGGCCCUGCCUGAGCAGCCAGCCAGUCAGUGAGGCUCUUCACCUUACUUCCAUUUCUCUGAUUCCAUCUAUGUACAACUUACGAAAACUUGCAUUAUUAUAGACUGGGAGUUCUUAAAUUGGAAUCUGUGAAUCUAAAGGGGCCAGAGGAUAGAAAUCAGGAAAUCUGAAAACUUCGAUGGAAAAAAGUUUUUAUUUAUUUCCAUCAGGAAAAUAGGCAACAAACCACAGCAGUAUUAGUACCUGUGUCUCUGUCAUCACUAGGAAUCACAGAUAUCCACGUUACAGAUAUCUUAAAAUAUUUAUGUACAGCACCACUCUGAAAUUAUGGUAAUAAUUAGAUCCACCCCCUAGGUCUUGUAAUCUUUAAUAUGUUAAUAAAGAAGCACAUCUAUUAUGUGACAGAUUUAAAUGUUUAAGAAUUUGAUUUCAAUGAAAUUGCAUUUCAAUAAAAU
rnacentral:lncRNA from 1 species